rnacentral:rRNA from 1 species
UACGGAGGGGGCUAGCGUUAUUCGGAUUUACUGGGCGUAAAGGGCGCGUAGGCGGCCAGCACAAGUCAGUUGUGAAAUCUCCGAGCUUAACUCGGAAAGGUCAACUGAUACUGUGCGGCUAGAGUGCGGAAGGGGCAACUGGAAUUCUUGGUGUAGCGGUGAAAUGCGUAGAUAUCAAGAGGAACACCUGCGGCGAAGGCGGGUUGCUGGGCCGACACUGACGCUGAGGCGCGAAAGCCAGGGGAGCGAACGGG